rnacentral:lncRNA from 12 species
GCAGGCAAAAAGACUAAAUGAGCUAUGAUCUGAAGUAAAAUAUGUCAUCCUGGAAAUUGCAAGUGAUAUGAUGGAGAAACAAUGCUGGGUAAUAGGGGAGGAGAAGGAAUGAGCUAUUAGAUUGAGAGGCAAGGAGACAAGCAUUUAAAUUAAGAGGACAGGACAAUGAGACAGCGCCAGUUAAAUGCACGAGAACCCAGACUGAAUGACACUGGUUAGUGAUUGCAGACAGGAAACAAUCCAUCAGCUGGGCUAGAAUGCAGCACUAAGGGAACAGGGAAAGGAAAAGGAUGCAAAAGGGCUUUCCUACUUAGAUAAAGCCAGCAGAGCUAAAAUUCAUUCCAAGCACAUUCCCCGAAGCGACAUCAUUAAGGGCUGCCGUGAGUAAAAGGCUCACUAAUCAGAAAAUUACUGCGGGAGAAAAAUGGGGUGAGCCGAUACGAAGAGACUGGGCAAAUGUUUGAGAUAAUGUACAAGAAAAAAAGAACGCCACUCUGCACUUUUUUGACAAGGGGGGUAUCAAAGUGCGUAGCUCUAGACGGAGAGAGAGGAUGAGCGAUAACCUCGGGAACUGGUUUCUUCGUUUUGGAAGGAAAGGAAGAUGAAAUUGGCUACCUGAAAUGAAUAUGUCAUUGGCAUGACUUCCAGUUACCAACACAUGAAGAUAAAAGGUCCUGAAGGUGAUGUUUUACACACCAACAGCCUUUGGAAGAAACGUGGUCCCCCAGAGUCCUUGAAAAAAAGCAGAGUUGUUGAUGCUCCAGACCACAGUGCCUGGGUUGAAAAGACAUCACCCUCACCUCAGACCUGGUGCCAAUAUGCCCCUGCACUGGACACCCUUCAGUACUAA